CUGCGUCUCGAGGUGACGGCUUCAAUUUAUUAUUCCCGUUAUGUAACUUUGCUUUGGUGCCCGGCCCUCCACUCCCAUGACUUUGUGUUGAAACAUAUUUUUAAAUUUCGGCCUUGCAUUCCACAAGAAGCCACGGGAUUUUUAUUUAUCACUGUUUGUAAGAGGUCUGAGAUCAUGAGCAAAUCAUCCAGUCACACGACAGGGAUAAGAAAAGACUUCCUUCCACAUUAAGGAAUGAUAGCAGUCCAUCUGGUCUCUGGGGAAGUGAUGGUCAAGCUGGUGGUGGACGAUGUGUCGUGAUUCAUCCUGACACUUUGCACAAUCAGCAACUGAAAGUAAAAAACAAAUGAAAAAGCCGGUGUCUUUGUGCUGAGGGGAGUGAGUGUUCCAGGAACUGGCUCGA